GCUCAGGAUGAACGCUAGCGGCAGGCCUAAUACAUGCAAGUCGGACGGGAUCUAGAUCUAAGCUUGCUUAGAUUUAGUGAGAGUGGCGCACGGGUGCGUAACGCGUGAGCAACCUACCCAUAUCAGGGGGAUAGCCCGGAGAAAUCCGGAUUAACACCGCAUGACACAACGACUCGGCAUCGAGAUGUUGUUAAAUAUUUAUAGGAUAUGGAUGGGCUCGCGUGACAUUAGCUAGUUGGUAAGGUAACGGCUUACCAAGGCUACGAUGUCUAGGGGCUCUGAGAGGAGAAUCCCCCACACUGGUACUGAGACACGGACCAGACUCCUACGGGAGGCAGCAGUAAGGAAUAUUGGUCAAUGGAGGGAACUCUGAACCAGCCAUGCCGCGUGCAGGAUGACUGCCCUAUGGGUUGUAAACUGCUUUUGUCCCAGGAAUAACCACCACUACGUGUAGUGGCUUGAAUGUACUGGAAGAAUAAGGAUCGGCUAACUCCGUGCCAGCAGCCGCGGUAAUACGGAGGAUCCGAGCGUUAUCCGGAUUUAUUGGGUUUAAAGGGUGCGUAGGCGGCUCAUUAAGUCAGGGGUGAAAGACGGCAGCUCAACUGUCGCAGUGCCUUUGAUACUGAUGAGCUUGAAUGUGGUUGAAGAUGGCGGAAUGAGACAAGUAGCGGUGAAAUGCAUAGAUAUGUCUCAGAACUCCGAUUGCGAAGGCAGCUGUCUAAGUCAUUAUUGACGCUGAUGCACGAAAGCGUGGGGAUCGAACAGGAUUAGAUACCCUGGUAGUCCACGCCCUAAACGAUGAUAACUCGAUGUUGGCGAUACACAGUCAGCGUCUUAGCGAAAGCGUUAAGUUAUCCACCUGGGGAGUACGCCCGCAAGGGUGAAACUCAAAGGAAUUGACGGGGGCCCGCACAAGCGGAGGAGCAUGUGGUUUAAUUCGAUGAUACGCGAGGAACCUUACCCGGGCUUGAAAGUUACUGAAUUAUCUAGAGAUAGAUAAGUCCUUCGGGACAGGAAACUAGGUGCUGCAUGGCUGUCGUCAGCUCGUGCCGUGAGGUGUUGGGUUAAGUCCCGCAACGAGCGCAACCCCUAUGUUUAGUUGCCAGCAUGUAAUGAUGGGGACUCUAAACAGACUGCCAGCGUAAGCUGUGAGGAAGGUGGGGACGACGUCAAGUCAUCAUGGCCCUUACGUCCGGGGCUACACACGUGCUACAAUGGAUGGUACAGCGGGCAGCUACCUGGUAACAGGAUGCUAAUCUCGAAAAGCCAUUCACAGUUCGGAUUGAGGUCUGCAACUCGACCUCAUGAAGUUGGAUUCGCUAGUAAUCGCGUAUCAGCAAUGACGCGGUGAAUACGUUCCCGGGCCUUGUACACACCGCCCGUCAAGCCAUGAAAGUUGGGGGUGCCUAAAGCAUGUAACCGCAAGGAGCGUGUUAGGGUAAAACCGAUAAUUGGGGCUAAGUCGUAACAAGGUAGCCGUACCGGAAGGUGCGGCUG
rnacentral:rRNA from 2 species